UGUGGUGCAAGCUAUAUUAAGGGUUCCCAUAGUGACUUGAAUGUGAUGGAGAAGGAGGAAGAUGAUGAGGAAAAUGUGGAGACCAUCAACUUGCCUAAGGCCUAAGGGUGUGGUGAACAACAACUAUUGACUAUCAUGUCAUUUGGAUGUUGCUACAAUGGAGUUGCACAAAUGAAGAUGGAUGAUGAUCUUGCUAGAAGUUGAACUUGUCUUAUUUUAUUUGU